GACGAACGCUGGCGGCGUGCUUAACACAUGCGAGUCGAACGGAAAGGCCCUGCUUUUGUGGGGUGCUCGAGUGGCGAACGGGUGAGUAACACGUGAGUAACCUGCCCUUGACUUUGGGAUAACUUCAGGAAACUGGGGCUAAUACCGGAUAGGAGCUCCUGCUGCAUGGUGGGGGUUGGAAAGUUUCGGCGGUUGGGGAUGGACUCGCGGCUUAUCAGCUUGUUGGUGGGGUAGUGGCUUACCAAGGCUUUGACGGGUAGCCGGCCUGAGAGGGUGACCGGCCACAUUGGGACUGAGAUCCGGCCCAGACUCCUACGGGAGGCAGCAGUGGGGAAUAUUGCACAAUGGGCGGAAGCCUGAUGCAGCAACGCCGCGUGCGGGAUGACGGCCUUCGGGUUGUAAACCGCUUUCGCCUGUGACGAAGCGUGAGUGACGGUAAUGGGUAAAGAAGCACCGGCUAACUACGUG
rnacentral:rRNA from 1 species